GCCUGUGUGGGAAGUGUGAUGUAUGUAUGGGAAGGGGGUCCACGGCUCAGGCCUGUGUUGGCAUCUUUAGCCACAGAGGAUGCCAGAGAUGCCAUCAGAUGGCAGGAGGCCCAGGUAAGGCACUUCAGCAGCCUGAGGUCCCUCCCCUAGGCCCACCCUCAAAGGCCCUGGAGCCCAGGCCUAUGCUGCCUGCCAGGGCCUUUCCCGGAACCACUCCUCCCCGCCUGCCCUGGCACUCUCCAGGCACAAAGCAUCCCUCAGGGCACUGCGCAGCACCCCAGGAAGCUGGGACGUGGGACAGGUCCCCAUCCCCAGGAAGAGCCCUGCUCUGGGCUGCUGUCAUCAUCACAAUGGCCCCACAAGACGCCAGGAGACAGCAUAGGGACAGCAUAAGUCCCCAGUGGGGACCCCAAAUGGGACCCCAUUGCCCCUGCAUAGAGGUGGAAGGAGGAGCUUUGUGGCUAGGUGGCAGGAUUCCUGGGUCUUUAUUGUGGUUUGGGGGUGGGGGCAGAAAAGCAGGGUCUCAGGCUUCAAAACACCACACCACCUGCCUGUCCCUCCCUCCGAGGAGGAAAUCUUCAGGGGCCUUGUGGUUUUGAGGGCAGGGGGCAGGAAGAGACUCUGAACUCUGGGUCAGCUGAGGACAGAGAUAGGGGAGAUCCUCUUGCCCUAUGUCCCACUUUUCUCCUAGGAUCCUCUUCCUCGGCUCCCUACUCCGCCACUACCCGAGAACAAACUCCUACCUCUGUUUGCAACUAAGAGUUACAUCCCCCAUGCCAAGACCUUCCGAGGCGUCCCAGAGGGGUGAGGUUUGGGGAAAACAGAACAUGUACACAGCAGCUGUGUGCCUGGCCACACCUGUCGGGUGGGGUGAGGAGAGUGCUCCUCCCAGGUGGGCAGAGCCUGCUGCGCUCAGGCUGGGGGCUGGGAGACGCUUUAAUACAGGGGCUAGAUGGCAGAGAGAUGCGCAAACCGGCCACGUGGAGGUCCAGCGCGGUAGGCUCGGGCGCAAGCAGAGGAGCGGGCCGUACGCUCGCCCCUCCCGUUCCAGGGAGCCGCCGAGUGCCGGGUCGUCGCUGACCGCAGGCUGCAAGAGCGGUUGAUCUGGGAAAUUCCUCACUGCCAGACUGCACCCACCCUUGAGGACCUCACAAUCUCUUUGGGCAGAGCAGAAGCCAUACAGAGACAGGGACUACGAAGCGACAAUCCCCAGCCCUGUGUGUUCAAGGAGCCCCCGAGGGGCAGGCAGCCACGCUGCAGAAGGCUAGCCUCACCGACCCCCAGGGAGCCCGGCGUGGGCUGCAGGGACAGAACGCUUCUCAGAGGAGGGGGAGUUUUCCUGCACAAGCUCUCUUCGCCUGCCGACAU